GCAUUGGUGGUUCAGUGGUAGAAUUGUCAUCUUCUAUGUGGGAGACCCGGGUUCGAUUCCCAGUCAAUGCA
rnacentral:tRNA from 1 species